UACGUAGGCAGCAAGCGUUGUUCGGAAUUACUGGGCGUAAAGAGUGUGUAGGCGGUGCUCCAAGUCUGUUGUGAAAUCUCCCGGCUUAACUGGGAGGGUGCGGCGGAAACUGGAGUGCUCGAGUAUGGGAGAGGUAAGCGGAAUUCCUGGUGUAGCGGUGAAAUGCGUAGAUAUCAGGAGGAACACCUGUGGUGUAGACAGCUUACUGGACCAUCACUGACGCUGAGACACGAAAGCGUGGGUAGCAAACAGG
rnacentral:rRNA from 1 species